CCUUUCGAAGCACUCCAGUGACGUUAUUUCCUCGAUCUCGACUCUCGAUUUCCUUUUCCUUCUCUGUUUGGAAGGCAACAGUGCAGGAAGAGAAGCAUUCGCCUGCAGGUCUCGCACUUUCUCUCCAUACGCAAGCACAUCCGCACGCACAGGCGCGCCGUGCCGAUAGGCAGUUGUUUUCUCCGGAGCACAUAUCCCUCUCCUCAAUCUCUAUCCUGCUCACGGUCUGUCCCGGCGCACCUCUUCGCUCAGAAGUAGUGCCAGACGUAAAGGCGCUCAGCUUCAGAUAUCAAAUCACCCUUUGAGACUUCUCACGAUGGCGGGCACAGGCAGCGGCCACGAUCAGUCGACGGACGUAUUUUCGGCCGAAGGUCGCGUGUUCCAGGUGGAGUACGCCGGCAAGGCUGUCGACAACAGCAGCACCGCCGUUGCGGCGUGCUGCAAGGACGGCGUUGUGGUUGCGGUGGAAAAAAUUUACACGAGUCGCAUGCUGGAGAAAGGCUCGAACAACCGCAUCCACGCCGUGGACCGCCAGGCCGGCAUUUGCAUCUGCGGUCUUCUCCCGGACGGGCGCGCGAUUGUCUCUCGCGCGCGGCAGGAGGCGGAGAAUAGUCGCGACAUUUUCGCCACCCCCAUCCGCGGUUCGGUGCUGGCAAAUCGCGUGGGGGAGUUCAUGCAUGUGUACACCACCCACUUUGCGUACCGCCCGUUCGGGUGCUCGGCCAUCAUCGCGUCGUAUGCUGAUGACGGACCGCAGCUCUUCGUUAGCGAUCCCAGCGGCACGGUGGCCGGGUACUACGGCGUUGCGCUCGGCAAGGCCAAGACAGUGGCAAAGAGCGAGCUGGAGAAGCUCGACUUCUCCAGCCUCACUUGCGACGAUGCGGUAGUGAAGCUGGCCAACAUCCUUCACGAUGUGCAUGACAAGCAGAAGGACAAGCUUUACGAAGUGGAAGUUGCGUGGGUCUGCGACAAGUCGGAUCGCAUGUUUGUGCACGUGGCGGCUGACAUGGUUCCGUCGGAAACGUCGAACUGAUGUUGCCGCAGUUUUGUGAUGACGCCUGUGAGCAUCAGCUGACCUGUGGGAGAGAGCUGACGGGUGUGCAUGUGUGGUUUGCUGCGUCGUCCGCGAGCGUGACGCGAUGCACGCACGUCUUACCCUCGGAUUCUCUUGCUCAAGUGUUGCGUCUUCUCCCCUGCCCGCCGUUCUUGUCUCUUCCCUUUAUUUCUUUGUUUCGGCGGCGUGUAUGUGUUGGCGUGGACACGGGUGCGAGCCCCGCUUUUUUCCUGUAGUGUUAUCGUGAGGCGCCUAUGCCGUAUGAGAUACCCGCGUCUUGGCAUGCGCGGGGAAGCUGCAGGCUAGGGAAGACGGAAUGGCGGUGUAGGAAAAUAGACAGAUUGAUGUGUGUGUGUGUGUGUAUGUGCGUGGAGGUGCAGGAGAGGGUCGCGGAGCUUACUCACGCAUGCAUGACAAGAGUUGUAGAGAAGAAGAUGUCGGCGACUCCGAGAAUCUCGUUUAUCCCUGUUAUGCCGGCAUGCAUGCAGAGUGUGGAGAAGUUCUUGAGCCACGACGGCGUGUGACCUCCCUCUGCAGUUCUCCUUUCUCACCCCCUUUUGUAUCCAUCCCGGGUGGCCUCCCAUUUUUUUUGCCUCUCCCUUUCUCUUGAGAGGGCCAACGCAUGUGGGAGCGGUCACUGCUCAUUACGGAUUGGCGGAGAUGAUGUUAUGCCGGAGCCAACCACCACUGUGAGCAC
rnacentral:misc_RNA from 1 species